GAUGAACGCUGGCGGCGUGCUUAACACAUGCAAGUCGAACGGAAAGGCCCUGCUUUUGUGGGGUGCUCGAGUGGCGAACGGGUGAGUAACACGUGAGUAACCUGCCCUUGACUUUGGGAUAACUUCAGGAAACUGGGGCUAAUACCGGAGAGGAGCUCCUGCUGCGUGGUGGGGGUUGGAAAGUUUCGGCGGUUGGGGAUGGACUCGCGGCUUAUCAGCUUGUUGGGGGGGUAGUGGCUUACCAAGGCUUUGACGGGUAGCCGGCCUGAGAGGGUGACCGGCCACAUUGGGACUAAGGGACGGCGCAGACUCCAACGGGAGGCAGCAGGGGGGAAUAUUGCACAGUGGGCGGAAGCCUGAUACAGCAACGCCGCGUGCGGGAUGACGGCCUUCGGGUUGUAAACCGCUUUCGCCUGUGACGAAGCGUGAGUGACGGUAAUGAGUAAAGAAGCACCGGCUAACUACGUG
rnacentral:rRNA from 1 species